rnacentral:rRNA from 1 species
GAUGAACGCUGGCGGCGUGCCUAAUACAUGUAAGUCGAGCGAACGGACGAGAAGCUUGCUUUUCUGAUGUUAGCGGCGGACGGGUGAGUAACACGUGGAUAACCUACCUAUAAGACUGGGAUAACUUCGGGAAACCGGAGCUAAUACCGGAUAAUAUUUUGAACCGCAUGGUUCAAAAGUGAAAGACGGUCUUGCUGUCACUUAUAGAUGGAUCCGCGCUGCAUUAGCUAGUUGGUAAGGUAACGGCUUACCAAGGCAACGAUGCAUAGCCGACCUGAGAGGGUGAUCGGCCACACUGGAACUGAGACACGGUCCAGACUCCUACGGGAGGCAGCAGUAGGGAAUCUUCCGCAAUGGGCGAAAGCCUGACGGAGCAACGCCGCGUGAGUGAUGAAGGUCUUCGGAUCGUAAAACUCUGUUAUUAGGGAAGAACAUAUGUGUAAGUAACUGUGCACAUCUUGACGGUACCUAAUCAGAAAGCCACGGCUAACUACGUG